rnacentral:rRNA from 1 species
UGGUGGAGUGAUUUGUCUGGUUAAUUCCGUUAACGAACGAGACCUUAACCUAUUAAUUAGUGACGUGAAUUGCGGUGGCAACACUGCGUUGAUUCAUGGUAAUCGCACUUCUUAGAGGGACUCUCGGCAUCUCUAGCCGAUGGAAGUUUGAGGCAAAACA